AUUCACCUUAAAUACUUUUGAUUUCCUUUGCAUGAUGAACAUGUCAACAGGAUCCCACCAACUAUGGAAAGAAGGGAACCAGUCCAACCUAGAUACAGUGCAUAUCCCAGUUCAUGUCUACAAUAAAGAUAAUAAAUCAUACAAAGGAUCAAAAGACUCAGUUAUGAUAUUUACUGCAUACCACGAAAGAGCAACCAUUGAUGAGACACCUGGUCAAACAAUACAGAUUAAAUACAGAUGAAAAUUACCCAUCAAUAUGUAUUAGGGCCCUGCAAGUCAUUUGAUAAGAUUUCAUCUGCAAAGGACUUUUGGAUCUAUUCCUUGAAACUACAAAGCUACCCGAGAUGCUUAAAGAUUAGAAGAAGGUUCUUCAAGACUCACCCAAGGUCUUUUUUGUCAUGCUUAAAAGGUAUUUUGCUAGAAAGGACUUAGAAGACUGUUUCAUUUAUAAGCAUCUGUAUGAUUUGUAUAGACUAGUAUGCAUAUAUAAUCAAGCUGUCACAUAGUUAACAAAAUUAUAACAUCUGAGGAAAGAUCAUAUGAAAGUAGUGGUAUUUUUUUAUUCAUUUCAAAAUUUCACAUGAGAAAAUUAAUUUUAACAGAAAAUACAUUUCUUUUCCAUUAAAGACUUGGCAUGUGAUACAGCAGCUUUCAUUUCAGAACAGAAAGCUGGAGUUUAUUUUGAUGGACAUAAAAUGCAAAAUGAGGGCCAACUUGGUAUAGUCGUUAAGGCAUCCGGAUAGAAACCAGGAAACCAUGAGUUCUAGUUCCACCUUAGGCACAGUCAGGUGGAUCACUUUGGGCCAGUCACUGUCUUUCAGCUACCAGUAUAUUCAUAAUUAUAAGUCAUAAUUGGGACUAUCUGACAGCAUCUGCUUGAUCGUAGCAACUUAGAUAGGUAACUAAAACUUCCCUUUUUGACCAAUGUUUUUAAAAGCAGUCAUUGCCUCAGGCUGGAAUGAAAUACAUACUAAAGAAUGAUAAAUUCCAUAGAUUUAAUGUUACUUGAACCAUAUGGUUAUAACAAACUCUCUGAUAAUAGAAUUUUAUUUACCAUGAAUCUGCCCUUUAAGAGAAGUCACAUUAAUAAUUGUAACAGGCAAGAGGAGAAGGAAUUUUUUUUAAAUAAUCAAUGGAUUUUUAUAGUCAAUGUGAUAAUUAGACUCAAUAUUGCUGAUGUUUUACCUAAUCAAUUUCUUGUUCUUAUUCAGGCCAGGUAUCAGCAGAAAAUGUUGCAUUACCUAUAGUGUUCAUCCACCAUUUAAAUCUGUCAUUGUUCUUUAGGAUUAGUGAAAGCAGCCCUUAAUGAAUAGAAUUGGUUGCCUUUCUCUGGCCUCUACGCUUGGCAACCCUGCCUCCAAUCUCAGAGCUGCAUUUCACACAUAUCUUGGGUCAGAAAAAGGCUUUUUAGAAAGUUGAACCAUACUUUUUCACAGGGAACAAAACUGAAAUCAAGUCCCAGAGAAGCUCCAUAUACUGUAAUUACUGUUCUGAAGUUUAUAGUAUGUUAUAGUGUUAAUCUUCCAGUUGGUUGUGUUCCCUUUUUUGUGGAUGCAUAUUGUUUUCUUUUACAUUCUUCUUUAAUUGUAACAUGCCCAAAGUUGUAGAGUUGGGUAGCCUCGAAAUUAAAAUAUUAAAAUUAAUUAAAUUACUAGCAAAAUUGCCCAGAGAAAAAAAGGAGAAUCUGUUUUCUAUGACAAAAUAGACAAAAAUAGGAUCUACUGAUUCUGACUUCUGCAAGUUAGUGCCCUCCAUGUGUGGGGGUAUAAUUCCUGGCAGUGUGAUUCAAAAAAUGUGGAUGGCACAAUGUUGGGAAAAACUAAUAGGAGACUCUACAGGCAGUCCUCGACUUAUUACCAUAACUGAGCCUGGCAAUUACAAUCGUAAGUCAUGAUGGUCAUAAAACAGGUAAUCAUGAGACUGACUUUACAAUCUUUUUUGUGGCAAUCAUUAGGCAAACCCAUUAUUUGCUAUGGAUCUUUUUUGCUGGAAGCCAGAAAUAAACAUCAGUUUCUAGCAAAAACAUGACUGCAAGAUGCUACAAAUGGCCAUAAAAUGAGUUGGUUGGCAAGUGCUAAAAAUGCAGUCACAGAGCUGGCUGUCAAAAUUUUGGAACUGAUUCAUCAUAACUUUAAACAAUUGCUAAGUGCCCAGUUGUAAGAAAAGGGCUAUCUGUACUCAUUGGCCAUUCCAGUCUAAAGAAAAAGAAACCAGUGUUUUCGGACUUGUAUUCUUUUUUCAUUUUGUGAAAAUGACCUUUAAAUGUACUGUGCAUACCUCCUCUUCAGUGCUAUUUCCAGAGAACUGAUGUGACCUAUCCUAGAAAUAAAAAAUUAGUAAAACUACAAAUAAA